UGCUCUGUAGCUGAGUUGAUUAAAGCGCCGGUCUAGCGCAUACGGAGUCGUGGGUGCGAAUCCUACCAGAACGC
rfam:Aedes albopictus isolate Foshan contig65089, whole genome shotgun sequence.